GACGAACGCUGGCGGCGUGCUUAACACAUGCAAGUCGAACGGUGAAGCUCCAGCUUGCUGGAGUGGAUCAGUGGCGAACGGGUGAGUAACACGUGAGCAACCUGCCCCUGACUCUGGAAUAAGCGCUGGAAACGGCGUCUAAUACUGGAUACGAGAAGGGUCCGCAUGGGCACUUUCUGGAAAGUUUUUCGGUUGGGGAUGGGCUCGCGGCCUAUCAGCUUGUUGGUGAGGUAAUGGCUCACCAAGGCGACGACGGGUAGCCGGCCUGAGAGGGCGACCGGCCACACUGGGACUGACACACGGCCCAGACUCCUACGGGAGGCAGCAGUGGGGAAUAUUGCACAAUGGGCGAAAGCCUGAUGCAGCGACGCCGCGUGAGGGAUGACGGCCUUCGGGUUGUAAACCUCUUUCAGCAGGGAAGAAGCGAAAGUGACGGUACCUGCAGAAGAAGCACCGGCUAACUACGUG
rnacentral:rRNA from 1 species